AACGAACGCUGGCGGCAUGCCUAACACAUGCAAGUCGAACGAGACCUUCGGGUCUAGUGGCGCACGGGUGCGUAACGCGUGGGAACCUGCCCUUAGGUUCGGAAUAACUCCCCGAAAGGGGUGCUAAUACCGGAUAAUGUCUUCGGACCAAAGAUUUAUCGCCUUUGGAUGGGCCCGCGUGGGAUUAGCUAGUUGGUAGGGUAAAAGCCUACCAAGGCGACGAUCCAUAGCUGGUCUGAGAGGAUGAUCAGCCACACUGGGACUGAGACACGGCCCAGACUCCUACGGGAGGCAGCAGUGGGGAAUAUUGGACAGUGGGCGAAAGCCUGAUCCAGCAAUGCCGCGUGAGUGAUGAAGGCCUUAGGGUUGUAAAGCUCUUUUACCCGGGAUGAUAAUGACAGUACCGGGAGAAUAAGCUCCGGCUAACUCCGUG
rnacentral:rRNA from 1 species